rnacentral:rRNA from 1 species
CUACGGGCGGCUGCAGUGGGGAAUAUUGGACAAUGGGGGAAACCCUGAUCCAGCAAUGCCGCGUGUGUGAAGAAGGCCUGCGGGUUGUAAAGCACUUUCGGUUGGGAGGACUGCUUCUAGCACUAAUAUUGUUGGAAGUUGACGUUACCUUCAGAAGAAGCACCGGCUAACUCCGUGCCAGCAGCCGCGGUAAUACGGUGGGUGCAAGCGUUAAUCGGAAUUACUGGGCGUAAAGCGCGCGUAGGCGGCUAGAUCAGUCGGGUGUGAAAGCCCCGGGCUUAACCUGGGAACUGCAUCCGAUACUGUCUAGCUUGAGUACAGGAGAGGAGAGUGGAAUUCCACAUGUAGCGGUGAGAUGCGUAGAUAUGUGGAGGAACACCAAUGGCGAAGGCAGCUCUCUGGCCUGAUACUGACGCUGAGGUGCGAAAGCGUGGGGAGCAAACAGGAUUAGAUACCCUUGUAGUC